rnacentral:lncRNA from 1 species
AAAUGAAGAACAAUGAUAAAUGAGGCGGCACGUGUGCCAACAACCCAUGCCGGGGAUAACAAGCCAUGAGCCGGCUAUUCUCUAUUCAACCCUAGCCAACGAACAAUUUGCGCUCAGCUGGGGAUUAUUCUCUUCUUACUUUUUUUUCUCUUCUUUUUUGUUUUUGCUUUUCUGGAACCCCGAAACUUUCUGAUUGGUAAUCUCUUCCUUCCUUUUUUCUCUUCUUUUUUGUUUUUGCUUUUCUUGAACCCCGAAACUUU